GUCCACGCUGUAAACGAUGGAUGCUAGGUGUUGCGGGAGUUGACCCCCGCAGUGCCGACGCUAACGCAUUAAGCAUCCCGCCUGGGGAGUACGGUCGCAAGACUAAAACUCAAAGGAAUUGACGGGGGCCCGCACAAGCGGUGGAGCAUGUGGUUCAAUUCGACGCAACGCGAAGAACCUUACCUGGACUUGACAUGUGCAGAAUCCCCUUGAAAGAGGGGAGUGCCCGCAAGGGAGCUGCAACACAGGUGCUGCAUGGCUGUCGU
rnacentral:rRNA from 1 species